UACGGAGGGUGCAAGCGUUAUCCGGAUUCACUGGGUUUAAAGGGUGCGUAGGCGGGCAGGUAAGUCAGUGGUGAAAUCUCCGAGCUUAACUCGGAAACUGCCUUUGAUACUCUCUGUCUUGAAUAUGGUGGAGGUAAGCGGAAUAUGUCAUGUAGCGGUGAAAUGCUUAGAGAUGACAUAGAACACCUAUUGCGAAGGCAGCUUACUACGCCUAUAUUGACGCUGAGGCACGAAAGCGUGGGGAUCAAACAGG
rnacentral:rRNA from 1 species